CUGCUGGCUAUGGGAUUCCCCCUGGCCAGCCCAGGCCCUGUGGUCAGACUGCUCCAUUCAGUCCCCUACUCUGCAAACUCCUCAGGUGAAGCCGGAGGCCAGCCCGUGACCUCAGGGACUCAGGAUAGUGACCACCCUGACUCAGGCAGUGUGGUGUACACCAUGCACCUGAUGGGUCACGUGGGGCAGGAUCUGCCUGGCUCUCCCAGCCUCAGUCUCCCUAUCUGUGCAGCAGGGUUGACAUCUCAGGGUGCCCUCAGCUAUGGAGCACUCACCUGAGCCCACCAGCUGGGCAUGGAGUUGUUCCUGGAACUGAGGGGCCCUAGCAUUUUUCCUUCUGGGGCUGGAGGUGUGGCUUGAUGGUCAGCGCUUGCCUGGGCUGACCAAGGCCCUGAUUCCAUCCCUAGCAUCACAAGCACACAAAGUCCUUCUUUUCUGGGAUGACCUCACUGGCUCCGUUUUCUUUCCUGAAAGGGGAAAGGGGUGCUGUGGAGGUAGAGGAGGGGACAGCCUAGUUCUGGAAGGUGAUCAAGAGAGAGGGAAGGGUGUCCUGAGUCAGUGGAGUAGGAGGGCUCUCCUUUCUCUCUUUGGGGGCUGUUGCAUAGGAUAAGGAAAAGCCAGUUGGGGUCAGAACCAUUUCCUGUAUGGACCUGGGCUCACGGUCGCAGCCCCCCAACCUGCUCGGCUUCCCCAGGCCGCUGCCAUGGAUACCCAGGCCAAAUGGCUGCAGACGCUGCCACUGAGGACAGCCAGGCCCACGAGUUAGAAGAUGCCUGUGCUCUCUGCUGGACCCCCGCCACCAGGCCUAGGCCGGUCCAGGACACUGCCCAGCCACCCAGGGUGACUUAGCGAAUGGUGUUUGUGUUGGCAUCUGUGGUCUUUGUGGCUCUGCCAACUUCCACAGCAUGUGACAGUGUCAGGGGACUGAAGGUGUGAGGAAGGACUCAGCUGGAGGCCUCGUGCCACCUCACCCUCAGAAGCAGUGGUGGCAGGGGAAGAGCCCAGUGUGUGGGUGCCAGGGGGCUGGUUUUCUUCUCCAGAAAAGGACUCACCACCCACCAUCACUGCUGUGGUUUGGGGAGGAUGACCCCCUCAUGGGGAGUCUGGGAACCCCUGAGAAUGGCA